UGUUAAAAUUUUCGUCCAUUUGUACUGUUAUAAAUUGGUCUCGUUGACGGAACAACUAGACAAUAACGUCACGUGUUCCUCAUGCUGACGUAUAAAGAUAAAUUUUUAACAGUAGAAAUGGAUAAAAUUUUUAAUA
rfam:Gossypium raimondii Chr05_contig_26, whole genome shotgun sequence.